rnacentral:rRNA from 1 species
UUGAACGCUGGCGGCAGGCCUAACACAUGCAAGUCGAACGGUAACAGGAAGAAGCUUGCUUCUUUGCUGACGAGUGGCGGACGGGUGAGUAAUGUCUGGGAAACUGCCUGAUGGAGGGGGAUAACUACUGGAAACGGUAGCUAAUACCGCAUAACGUCGCAAGACCAAAGAGGGGGACCUUCGGGCCUCUUGCCAUCGGAUGUGCCCAGAUGGGAUUAGCUAGUAGGUGGGGUAACGGCUCACCUAGGCGACGAUCCCUAGCUGGUCUGAGAGGAUGACCAGCCACACUGGAACUGAGACACGGUCCAGACUCCUACGGGAGGCAGCAGUGGGGAAUAUUGCACAAUGGGCGCAAGCCUGAUGCAGCCAUGCCGCGUGUAUGAAGAAGGCCUUCGGGUUGUAAAGUACUUUCAGCGGGGAGGAAGGGAGUAAAGUUAAUACCUUUGCUCAUUGACGUUACCCGCAGAAGAAGCACCGGCUAACUCCGUGCCAGCAGCCGCGGUAAUACGGAGGGUGCAAGCGUUAAUCGGAAUUACUGGGCGUAAAGCGCACGCAGGCGGUUUGUUAAGUCAGAUGUGAAAUCCCCGGGCUCAACCUGGGAACUGCAUCUGAUACUGGCAAGCUUGAGUCUCGUAGAGGGGGGUAGAAUUCCAGGUGUAGCGGUGAAAUGCGUAGAGAUCUGGAGGAAUACCGGUGGCGAAGGCGGCCCCCUGGACGAAGACUGACGCUCAGGUGCGAAAGCGUGGGGAGCAAACAGGAUUAGAUACCCUGGUAGUCCACGCCGUAAACGAUGUCGACUUGGAGGUUGUGCCCUUGAGGCGUGGCUUCCGGAGCUAACGCGUUAAGUCGACCGCCUGGGGAGUACGGCCGCAAGGUUAAAACUCAAAUGAAUUGACGGGGGCCCGCACAAGCGGUGGAGCAUGUGGUUUAAUUCGAUGCAACGCGAAGAACCUUACCUGGUCUUGACAUCCACGGAAGUUUUCAGAGAUGAGAAUGUGCCUUCGGGAACCGUGAGACAGGUGCUGCAUGGCUGUCGUCAGCUCGUGUUGUGAAAUGUUGGGUUAAGUCCCGCAACGAGCGCAACCCUUAUCCUUUGUUGCCAGCGCGUAAUGGCGGGAACUCAAAGGAGACUGCCGGUGAUAAACCGGAGGAAGGUGGGGAUGACGUCAAAUCAUCAUGCCCUUUAUGUCUUGGGCUACACACGUACUACAAUGGCUAUAACAAAGAGAAGCGAGACAGUGAUGUGGAGCAAAACUCAAAAAAAUAGUCUCAGUUCGGAUUGAAGGCUGAAAUUCGCCUUCAUGAAGCUGGAAUUGCUAGUAAUGGCAGGUCAGCAUACUGCCGUGAAUACGUUCCCGGGCCUUGUACACACCGCCCGUCACACCAUGGGAGUCAGUAACGCCCGAAGUCAGUGACCCAACCGUAAGGAGGGAGCUGCCGAAGGUGGGACCGAUAACUGGGGUG